GAUGAACGCUGGCGGCGUGCUUAGCACAUGCAAGUCGAGCGAAGCAAUCUAAGUGAAGUUUUCGGAUGGAUCUUAAAUUGACUGAGCGGCGGACGGGUGAGUAACGCGUGGAUAACCUGCCUCACACAGGGGGAUAACAGUUAGAAAUGACUGCUAAUACCGCAUAAGCGCCGAGUACCGCUUGGUAUAGUGUGAAAAACUCAGGUGGUGUGAGAUGGAUCCGCGUCUGAUUAGGUAGUUGGUGGGGUAAAAGCCCACCAAGCCGACGAUCAGUAGCCGACCUGAGAGGGUGACCGGCCACAUUGGGACUGAGACACGGCCCAAACUCCUACGAGAGGCAGCAGAGGGGAAUAUUGCACAAUGGGCGAAAACCUGAUGCAGCGACGCCGCGUGAGUGAAGAAGUAUCUCGGUAUGUAAAGCUCUAUCAUCAGGGAAGAAAAUGACGGUACCUGACUAAGAAGCCCCGGCUAACUACGUGCCAGCAGCCGCGGUAA
rnacentral:rRNA from 1 species